UAGAAAUUUGCUGGAAAUAAAAGCAGUUGAAUGUGAGAGGACCUUUCUUUUUUUGCUGGGUUUAUAUUAUUAUUCUAUAUUAUAAAAUUAAAUAGUUUGGCAAAUGAUUGUCCCUUUUGAGUAAAUAAAUUCAUGUUGUGAACAUCAGCGAUGUUUCCUAAUAUCUUAUUCACUGUAGAAAUGCAGAAUGUAAUGUCUAAUGAUGUGAAUAAGGGGAGACUGGCACAUUUUCUUAACUUCGAGCUCUGCAUUCCAUCAUCUACUCAUCACAAAACUCUUAAACAUCUGAACUUUCUGCAUCAUGCUAUUUUAUUUGAAACUUUUGGCACAAAAUUAACUUCAUAGUGCAGAGUAUUAACGAUCUUCUAGUGCACACACACACACACAUGCACAUGCACACAGGUACUGAUCACAGGUGUGUAGUGUUCACUCGGUGUUAAUGUUAAUGAUGUGAGUGUGUGUUAGAGUAUCAAAGUGAGUGUGUGUUAGUAUUUUAAAGUGAGUGUGUGUUAGUAUUUUAAAGUGAGUGUGUGUCAGAGUAUCAAGUGAGUGUGCGUUAGAGUAUCGAAGUGAGUGUGCGUUAGAGUAUCGAAGUGAGUGUGCGUUAGAGUAUCGAAGUGAGUGUGCGUUAGAGUAUCGAAGUGAGUGUGCGUUAGAUGUAUUAAGUGAGUGUGUGUUAGUGUAUUAAAGUGAGUGUGUGUUAGUGUAUUAAAGUGAGUGUGUGUUAGUGUAUUAAAGUGAGUGUGUGUUAGUUGUAUCAAAGUGAGUGUGUGUUAGUGUAUUAAAGUGAGUGUGUGUUAGUGUAUUAAA
ensembl:lncRNA